rnacentral:rRNA from 1 species
CAGCAGCCGCGGUAAUACGAAGGGGGCUAGCGUUGUUCGGAUUUACUGGGCGUAAAGCGCACGUAGGCGGAUUCUUAAGUCAGAGGUGAAAUCCCAAGGCUCAACCUUGGAACUGCCUUUGAUACUGGGGAUCUUGAGUCCGGGAGAGGUGAGUGGAACUGCGAGUGUAGAGGUGAAAUUCGUAGAUAUUCGCAAGAACACCAGUGGCGAAGGCGGCUCACUGGCCCGGUACUGACGCUGAGGUGCGAAAGCGUGGGGAGCAAACAGGAUUAGAUACCCCAGUAGUCCCUGUCUCUUAUAC